rnacentral:snRNA from 1 species
AAACUGUGGGGAUCUAGCUACAACAUCUGUCACCCCAUUAAUCUCCAGAGUUGAUUUGGCUGAUCUGGCUGGCUAAGUGGGUGACCCCUUCCUCCCUGACCACUCCAUGUGUGUCGCUCUGAAGCUGUGAGCUUGGUCAAAGAUGACCUUCUUUAAUAGAGGAGGAGGACUGUUCUUCAGUCAUGAGUAUAUAAGUGGCUGCGCUCCCCUUUGAACAAGCUCUCAAAGUGUGGGGAUCUUCCUCUGCUC